rnacentral:lncRNA from 1 species
AUGGACGCCGGCCCCGCCCCCGCGGUCCACUUCCUGUUUCCUGUAGCCUGUCCAGGGACAGACGUAAUGGUGGUCGCGGGGAAGUGUCCCUGCCGACUUCCGCUUCCGGUCACAAGAGGCUUCCGCUUUCCCACAUCCUGUUUCCGACUGGCGGCGCUUCCUCUUCCUGCCUGUUGCCAAGGCCUCUUGACAUGUCCUUGCUCCCUUAAGCUCUGGGCCUGGUGCGGACCCUGUUGGCUGCAAAGGUGCGAUGACGGGACUCCGGGGAGCCAGGCCGCAGACAACCGGGGCAGGAAACCUCGCCUGCCAAAGGUGCCUUUGAAAGGGAAAGUGCCCGGCAGCACCGCGGGGAAGGUUCGUGUCCGGGAAUCUGCAGCCCUGAGAGGACAGGUGGCAUUGGACUGCCAGGAAGAGCCCCAGGAAACGGCUGGAGAGCAAAUGGCACCGGGCCAAGGGCUGCCUUUCUUCCCAGUUCCCCUGAGACACUAG